GGGGAUGCGUGGUUUCGACAGGGCCCGAACCCCGGGAAACGCGAGCCGAGGUGCCGUCUGGCCUCGUAAAAAGGCGGCAAACGAAGUAACUGGCAACCGCCAGCCUGCUCUCGCCCUCGCCGCUUAGGCGGUAAGGUGAGCGUGGAAGCAGCCUCCUCCCCGUGGGCUGUGGAAGCGUCAUGCAGCGGGGAUGCAGCUCCGGGUAGCGUCGCGUAGCCGGAGACCAAGCCCGAUCUAGGGGGACGUGACUGGACCGAUCGGAACGCUGCCGAUGGCGGAUCGGUCGGUCGACGACAAAGCAUCGGACACGCUCGUAGUGGUUCCCGGGCAACGGUUCUGGACGGGGAGUUCGACCCUCCCCCAUCUCCACCA
rnacentral:tmRNA from 1 species